GUGUUCCUAGCUCAAUUGGAUAGAGCGCCUGCCUUCUAAGCUGGAGAUACAGGUUCGAACCCUGUGGAACAUA
rnacentral:tRNA from 1 species